GACGAACGCUGGCGGCGUGCUUAACACAUGCAAGUCGAGCGGAGCGGCGAACGGGUGAGUAACGCGUGGGUACCUGCCCCCCUCUCUGGGAUAACAGUUGGAAACGGCUGCUAAUACCGGAUAGUGUGGGAUGACUCGCGUCCUAUCCGCAUGUUGGUGGGGUAGUGGCAUACCACGGCGACGACGGGGAGCCGGCAUGAGAGGGGGACCGUCCACAUUGGGCUGAGGUACGCCCCAAACUCCGACGGGGGGCAGUAGUGGGGAAUAUUGCACAAUGGGGGAAACCCUGAUGCAGCAACGCGCGUUCGUGAUGACCUCCUUCGGGUUGUAAACCGCUUUCAGCCAUGACGCGGUAGUGGCAGAAGAAGCACCGGCUAACUACGUGCCAGCAGCCGCGGUAAUAC
rnacentral:rRNA from 1 species